GACGAACGCUGGCGGCGUGCUUAACACAUGCAAGUCGAACGGAAAGGCCCUGCUUUUGUGGGGUGCUCGAGUGGCGAACGGGUGAGUAACACGUGAGUAACCUGCCCUUGACUUUGGGAUAACUUCAGGAAACUGGGGCUAAUACCGGAUAGGAGCUCCUGCUGCAUGGUGGGGGUUGGAAAGUUUCGGCGGUUGGGGAUGGACUCGCGGCUUAUCAGCUUGUUGGUGGGGUAGUGGCUUACCAAGGCAUUGACGGGUAGCCGGCCUGAGAGGGUGACCGGCCACAUUGGGACUGAGAUACGGCCCAGACGCCUACGGGAGGCAGCAGUGGGGAAUAUUGCACAAUGGGCGGAAGCCUGAUGCAGCGACGCCGCGUGCGGGAUGACGGCCUUCGGGUUGUAAACCGCUUUCGCCUGUGACGAAGCGUGAGUGACGGUAAUGGGUAAAGAAGCACCGGCUAACUACGUG
rnacentral:rRNA from 1 species